ACCUUACUAUUUUAGUUCUGAUAGAAAUGUCUAUCUUUCUAACGUAGGUCUGAAUUAAAUUGUUCAUUGUUAAAGUCUUAAAAUAAUAAUAACAAGAUGUAAUUGAUUGGCAAGAAUUUUGUGUCCCUCAAGACCCAGGCAGAUGGCUUCAUGGUGGCCAACCCACAUAACUCUUUGGACAGACAAUCGCUCCUCCACCGGUCUGUUAAAAGAGAUGAUGACUUUGUAAAAAUCAAAGGGCCAGAAACGGGAGGCUGAAUAUGAUGCUUAGGACGAAGAAUCUUUGAUAGUUUCAAUAAUUAAUGGAGCACUAAGUUUAUUUUCUAGUGUUAGAGAUUAUGAUUGUAUUUUGUAUGUAGAUGUUUUAGUAAGCAUGUACAAUUCUUUUGACCUUGCUCAUUUGCUAAAGUUGAUGUGCAUAAAUGAUUAAUAUAGAAUACAUGUAUUGUCAUGUUAUACAAUCAGCAAUUUGUUGAACUUUA